rnacentral:rRNA from 1 species
UACGUAGGGUGCGAGCGUUCAUCGGAAUUACUGGGCGUAAAGCGUGCGCAGGCGGUUGUACAAGACAGGUGUGAAAUCCCCGGGCUUAACCUGGGAACUGCACUUGUGACUGUACGACUGGAGUACGGCAGAGGGGGAUGGAAUUCCGCGUGUAGCAGUGAAAUGCGUAGAUAUGCGGAGGAACACCGAUGGCGAAGGCAAUCCCCUGGGCCUGUACUGACGCUCAUGCACGAAAGCGUGGGGAGCAAACAGG